rnacentral:rRNA from 1 species
AGCGAACGCUGGCGGCAGGCCUAACACAUGCAAGUCGAACGAAGUCUUCGGACUUAGUGGCGGACGGGUGAGUAACACGUGGGAACGUGCCUUUAGGUUCGGAAUAACUCAGGGAAACUUGUGCUAAUACCGAAUGUGCCCUUCGGGGGAAAGAUUUAUCGCCUUUAGAGCGGCCCGCGUCUGAUUAGCUAGUUGGUGAGGUAAGGCUCACCAAGGCUACGAUCAGUAGCUGGUCUGAGAGGAUGACCAGCCACAUUGGGACUGAGACACGGCCCAAACUCCUACGGGAGGCAGCAGUGGGGAAUCUUGCGCAAUGGGCGAAAGCCUGACGCAGCCAUGCUGCGUGGAUGAUGAAGGUCUUAGGAUUGUAAAAUCCUUUCACCGGUGAAGAUAAUGACUGUAGCCGGAGAAGAAGCCCCGGCUAACUUCGUGCCAGCCGCCGCGGUAAUAC